GUACGAACUUCCGGUUCUCGCAGCAGCUUUCGCCGCUGCCGCCUCUGCCACCUGCCGCGGCCGAGCCUCACCGCACGAUUUGGUCAUCUCUUCCUCGUUCUCCACUGCGCCCAUGAUCCCUCCUGGAGCCAGGGCGGCGGGCCCGGCGGCUCCCGUGUGGUGAGAGGGCGGUCGGGGACGAUGGAGGCCCCGCACUGCAGCUGCUGCCUCAGCCGCCUCCUGGCCUCCGCCCUCCUGCUGCUGCUACUACUGCCAGGGUUCAGAGGGCCCUUGGCGGUGCUGCUGCAGGCGGCCGAGGCAGCGCCGAACACCAGGCCUCCGGACCGUGGGUCGCGGACCCUGCAGCCUCUGCCGCCCGGCCCCACCGCCGCCCACUCGCCGGGCCGCGCUCCGGCCGAAGCCGCGGGGCCGAAAGGCGCUGAGGGCGGCAAUGGCAGCAGCCCCGGGGCGGGGCUUGCGGCGAACGAUCAAGGAGGGAAGGCGGGGGAAGAAGGCUCAGUGGGUGGCGGCCUCGCUGUGAGCCCCAACCCCGGCGAUAAGCCCAUGACCCAGCGGGCCCUGACCGUUUUGAUGGUGGUGAGCGGCGCGGUGCUGGUGUACUUCGUCGUCAGGACGGUCAGGAUGAGAAGAAGAAACCGAAAGACUAGGAGAUACGGAGUUUUGGACACUAACAUAGAAAACAUGGAAUUGACACCUUUAGAACAAGAUGAUGAGGAGGAUGAUAACACAUUGUUUGAUGCGAAUCAUCCUCGAAGAUAAGAAUGUGCCUUUUGAUGAGAGGACUUCAUCUUUCUACAAUGAAGAGCAGAAUUUCUAUGUUUAAGGAAUAAGAAGCCACUUUAUCAAUGGGGGGGGUAUUUAAGUUACAUAUAUUAUGACAACCUUUAAUUUGUUGUUGCAAUAAAUACUGUAUCAUUUUGUUAUGUCUUUGUAUGUGUAGAAGUGCUCUUAAUGGGCUCAGAGUUGUUGGGAGUAAACUGUACUAUAAUAGAAAUCUGUUUGAAAAUUACUUUAACACCAGGUCUUUUCUGAUCAGUUUUUGCCUCUUACUUACCAUAUUAUUGUGAACUGUUUUAUCCACUAAUCAGUUAAUGUUUUUUUUUUUUUGCUGGUUAAUUAUUUUUUGCUGGAACUGUAAAUCCCAACAACCACUGGUGUGUAAAAAUAAUUUAAAAAUUUCUUUAAAAAAGAUAUGUUUCCCAUUUUUGUGGGGAAAAGAAGCCAAAUUUAUUAUUUUGUGUUUAGGUUUUUAAAAUAUUAAUAAAUGUCUGAGUUGUGUGCAAAACAAUAAAUAUGAUUUAAAAUUCUUUUAAAGUGGUAAAGAUAGAAUAUGUUUACAAAAUAAACCCAAAGACUGUAGAAUUAUAUAUUAACAUAUGUAUUUUAUAUGGUUUCUAGAAAAAUCUAUCAAAAAAGGGUUAUUGUAUUUUAGCAACUUCCUUGCUAAAUUAAGAUAUCUGCUUUGAUUAGAUAUUUCAGAAACAGUGAAUUUCAAAGCCAUUUUAUUCAUUUACAGGAUUGUGAGAGAUAGAAAUAAUGACAAAAAUGUACCGGUCAUAUCAUGAUAUAGGAGAGUAAGGAAUUGAAGUAAGUGCACAGACUUUAGAGUCAGACAGACCUGGAUACAGAGACUGACUGAGUUCAUUAUCUCUGAAAAAAUUAUUUAACCCCCUUGAGCUUCAGUUUUUCAUAUUCUAAAAAUUAGAGAAGAACCUAUAGGAAAAGCAUGGGUCACAAAUUCAGUGGCUUACUGGGGUCAGGUAGGUAAUUUAAAUGUGUAUGUGUCAGUCAGAAUAGGCUAGGUAAUACAGUAGUAACAGAUGGUCCCCAAAUCACAGUGGGUUACAACAAAAAUUUCUCACGCAUGCUAUCCAUUUGUUAUGGACUGUGAUUCUGCUCUUCGUUGUCUUUUCUCCAGGGCCAAGGCGUGGAGAAAUCUCUGCUUGGAAUAUUGCCUCAUAGCUAAAUGUCCAGACAUGGUGAACUGCAUGCUAGUUCAUAAGCUUUGCACUAAAGUGAUAUAUUUCACUUCCAUCUACAUUUUAUUGGGCAAAACAAAUCUUAAGGCCACUCCAGAGUUCAACAAGGCAAGGAUAGGUAAUCCUCUAGCAGUGAGUCAGACUGGUCUGGGGCUGGAGGCAUCUGAAGGCUUAAUUGAGCUGGAAGUCCGAGGUGACUCACUUGUGUGGCUGAGUUGAAGCUGGCUGUUGGCAAGGAGCUCAACUGAAAUGCCAACAUGUGGCUUUGGCUUCUCAUAGCGUGGCAGCUGGGUCCUGAGAGGGAGCUUCCCAAGACCACAUCUACUUGUGUCUAUUAGGUCCAGACAUUUUAAAACAUUGGACAAAAACUUGCAUACCAUCUACAUAGGAGAAACAACAGUCCCAGAGAGGUGAUUGGAGGAAUUCUCUGUCCCACAAUACACAAGCACAUGUGCGUGCACGUGCACACACUUCAUGCUCUCCCUUUUGCAUUCUGAAACAUGCCAGAGAUGGAUAUAUUUGGAUGACUUUUCUACUCCUGAGUGUCACAACGGAUUCACGGAUUUUUAUGUAUUCAAUAUUUUACCUUCAGUGCAGUGACUUGUGAUGCUUUAAUCGGCCAGUGGGAGCCCCUUCAAGCUGACUUGGGGUCCUUUUGACAACCUUCCCAUUAGGCUUCCUUGUUUUCUUGCACAACAAAGGUCCCAGGCUCGUGUUGUGUUUUCUCUAUUCUAAUCCUGGAAUGUGUCCAAGAGCCCUGGUUUAUUUUAGCAGGGUGUAUGCAAACCAAGAUCUGAGUUUCUGGGUUUUAGGGGUGCUCAUUACCACUAAAGUGAGGUGAACUUUCAGUAACUUAAAAGUCAUGAGUUAAUAUUGACAUGUCUAACUUAAAUAUAUUUAACAUGGCAGAAUUUUUCUUAACUCCUUUGAUUUUAUAAUUUUGCCUCUUUUAUGUAAAAAAAUCUUAGUCACCAGUAUCAAUAACACAUUUACUUAUUUGGUUUCGCCUGCAAUUUGAAUACAAUCUUUAUAAAAUUACAAUACUAGUAUAUAUGUUUUUUACUAACAAUAAAGCUACUGGGAGAAGUUUAA